UUCUGGUGGGUCAUGAGGUGGGCA
rnacentral:misc_RNA from 1 species